GACGAACGCUGGCGGCGUGCUUAACACAUGCAAGUCGAACGGAAAGGCCCUGCUUUUGUGGGGUGCUCGAGUGGCGAACGGGUGAGUAACACGUGAGUAACCUGCCCUUGACUUUGGGAUAACUUCAGGAAACUGGGGCUAAUACCGGAUAGGAGCUCCUGCUGCAUGGUGGGGGUUGGAAAGUUUCGGCGGUUGGGGAUGGACUCGCGGCUUAUCAGCUUGUUGGUGGGGUAGUGGCUUACCAAGGCUUUGACGGGUAGCCGGCCUGAGAGGGUGACCGGCCACAUUGGGACUGAGAUACGGCCCAGACGCCUACGGGAGGCAGCAGUGGGAAAUAUUGCGCAGUGGGCGGGAGCCUGAUGCAGCGACGCCGCGUGCGGGAUGACGGCCUUCGGGUUAUGAACCGCUUUCGCCUGAAACGAAGCGUGAGUGACGGUAAUGGGUAAAGAAGCACCGGCUAACUACGUG
rnacentral:rRNA from 1 species